rnacentral:antisense_RNA from 1 species
ACAUCUGUGCCAACAAGAAUAUUGGCAUCUUCUUCAAGCGUUUCAACCCAUUCAGUUUGUUCGCGGACCGUUACGCAAGGUACUUCCAUAAAGUAAGCUUCCUUUUGUACACCGCCCG